GACGAACGCUGGCGGCGUGCUUAACACAUGCAAGUCGAACGAAGUGGCGCACGGGUGAGUAACGCGUAAUCAACCUGCCCUUCAGAGGGGGACAACAGUUGGAAACGACUGCUAAUACCGCAUACUGAAGGAGGGGAUUGCGUCUGAUUAGCUAGUUGGAGGGGUAACGGCCCACCAGGGCGAUGAUCAGUAGCCGGUGGGAGAGGAGGAACGGCCACAUGGGGACUGAGACACGGCCCAGACUCCGACGGGAGGCAGCAGUAGGGAAUCUGCCGCAAUGGAUGAAAGGGUGACGGAGCAACGCCGCGUGAGUGAUGACGGCCUUCGGGUUGUAAAGCUCUGUUAAUCGGGACGCGGUACCGGAAUAGAAAGCCACGGCUAACUACGUGCCAGCAGCCGCGGUAAUUC
rnacentral:rRNA from 1 species